GAUGAACGCUGGCGGCGUGCCUAAUACAUGCAAGUCGAGCGAACAGACGAGGAGCUUGCUCCUCUGACGUUAGCGGCGGACGGGUGAGUAACACGUGGAUAACCUACCUAUAAGACUGGGAUAACUUCGGGAAACCGGAGCUGAUACCGGAUAAUAUAUUGAACCGCAUGGUUCAAUAGUGAAAGACGGUUUUGCUGUCACUUAUAGAUGGAUCCGCGCCGCAUUAGCUAGUUGGUAAGGUAACGGCUUACCAAGGCAACGAUGCGUAGCCGACCUGAGAGGGUGAUCGGCCACACUGGAACUGAGACACGGUCCAGACUCCUACGGGAGGCAGCAGUAGGGAAUCUUCCGCAAUGGGCGAAAGCCUGACGGAGCAACGCCGCGUGAGUGAUGAAGGUCUUCGGAUCGUAAAACUCUGUUAUUAGGGAAGAACAAAUGUGUAAGUAACUAUGCACGUCUUGACGGUACCUAAUCAGAAAGCCACGGCUAACUACGUG
rnacentral:rRNA from 1 species